ACUGCUAUCGGAUUGAUACUAAGCCAUGCGAGUCAUUGUAGCAAUACAAGGCAGACGGCUCAGUAACGCGUAGUCAACCUAACCUAUGGACGGGAAUAACCUCGGGAAACCGAGAAUAAUGCCCGAUAGAACACUAUGCCUGGAAUGGUUUGUGUUCCAAAUGAUUUAUCGCCGUAGGAUGGGACUGCGGCCUAUCAGUUUGUUGGUGAGGUAAUGGCCACCAAGACUAUUACAGGUACGGGCUCUGAGAGGAGUGGCCCGGAGAUGGGUACUGAGACACGGACCCAGGCCCUAUGGGGCGCAGCAGGCGAGAAAACUUUGCAAUGUGCGAAAGCACGACAAGGUUAAUCCGAGUGGUUUCUGCUAAAGGAACCUUUUGUCGGUCCUAGAAACACCGAUGAAUAAGGGGUGGGCAAGUUCUGGUGUCAGCCGCCGCGGUAAAACCAGCACCUCAAGUGGUCAGGAUGAUUAUUGGGCCUAAAGCAUCCGUAGCCUGCUUUGUUAGUUUUCGGUUAAAUCUGUACGCUCAACGUACAGGCUGCCGGGAAUACUGCAAAGCUAGGGAGUGGGAGAGGUAGACGGUACUCGGUAGGAAGGGGUAAAAUCCUUUGAUCUAUUGAUGACCACCUGUGGCGAAGGCGGUCUACCAGAACACGUCCGACGGUGAGGGAUGAAAGCUGGGGGAGCAAACCGGAUUAGAUACCCGGGUAGUCCCGGCUGUAAACCAUGCAAACUCAGUGAUGCAUUGGCUUGUGGCCAAUGCAGUGCUGCAGGGAAGCCGUUAAGUUUGCCGCCUGGGAAGUACGUACGCAAGUACGAAACUUAAAGGAAUUGGCGGGGGAGCACCACAAGGGGUGAAG
rnacentral:rRNA from 1 species